UGGGGAAUUUUGGACAAUGGGCGAAAGCCUGAUCCAGCAAUGCCGCGUGUGUGAAGAAGGCCUUCGGGUUGUAAAGCACUUUUGUCCGGAAAGAAAUCCUUGGCUCUAAUACAGUCGGGGGAUGACGGUACCGGAAGAAUAAGCACCGGCUAACUACGUGCCAGCAGCCGCGGUAAUACGUAGGGUGCAAGCGUUAAUCGGAAUUACUGGGCGUAAAGCGUGCGCAGGCGGUUUGCUAAGACCGAUGUGAAAUCCCCGGGCUCAACCUGGGAACUGCAUUGGUGACUGGCAGGCUAGAGUAUGGCAGAGGGGGGUAGAAUUCCACGUGUAGCAGUGAAAUGCGUAGAGAUGUGGAGGAAUACCGAUGGCGAAGGCAGCCCCCUGGCAAGUACUGACGCUCAUGCACGAAAGCGUGGGGAGCAAACNGGAUUAAUACCCUGGUAGUCCACGCCCUAAANGAUGUCAACUAGUUGUUGGGGAUUCAUUUCCUUAGUAACGUAGCUAACGCGUGAAGUUGACCGCCUGGGGAGUACGGUCGCAAGAUUAAAACUUAAAUAAUUGACGGGGUCAUGCUG
rnacentral:rRNA from 1 species